rnacentral:rRNA from 1 species
UACGUAGGGUGCAAGCGUUGUCCGGAAUUAUUGGGCGUAAAGAGCUCGUAGGCGGUCUGUCGCGUCGGCUGUGAAAACCCGGGGCUUAACUCCGUGCCUGCUUCCGAUACGGGCAGACUAGAGGUAUGCAGGGGAGAAUGGAAUUCCUGGUGUAGCGGUGAAAUGCGCAGAUAUCAGGAGGAACACCAAUGGCGAAGGCAGCACUCUGGGACGUGACUGACGCUGAGACGCGAAAGCGUGGGGAGCAAACAGG